rnacentral:rRNA from 1 species
AACGAACGCUGGCGGCAUGCCUAACACAUGCAAGUCGAACGAGACCUUCGGGCCUAGUGGCGCACGGGUGCGUAACGCGUGGGAAUCUGCCCUUAGGUUCGGAAUAACUCCCCGAAAUGGGUGCUAAUACCGGAUCAUGUCUUCGGACCAAAGAUUUAUCGCCUAGGGAUGGGCCCGCGUUGGAUUAGCUAGUUGGUAGGGUAAAAGCCAACCAAGGCGACGAUCCUUAGCUGGUCUAGAGGAUGAUCAGCCACACUGGGACUGAGACACGGCCCAGACUCCUACGGGAGGCAGCAGUGGGGAAUAUUGGACAAUGGGCGAAAGCCUGAUCCAGCAAUGCCGCGUGAGUGAUGAAGGCCUUAGGGUUGUAAAGCUCUUUUACCCGUGAUGAUAAUGACAGUACCGGGAGAAUAAGCUCCGGCUAACUCCGUG